GCCAAGCGUGGUGGCCUGUGCCUGUAGUCCCAGCUACUCGGGAGGCUGAGGUGUGAAGAUCGCUUGAGCCUAGGAGUUCUGGGCUGUAGUGCGCUAAUCAGGUGUCGGCACUAAGUUCAGCAUCAAUACGGUGACCUCCCAGGAGCAGGGGACCACCAGGUUGCCUAAGGGGGAGUGAACUGGCCCAGGUAGGAAACACAGCAGGUCAAAACUCCAGUGCUGAUCAGAUCAGUAGUGGGAUUGCGCCUGUGAAUAGCCACUGCACUCCAGCCUGGGCAACAUAGCGCGACCUCGUCUCCU
ensembl:misc_RNA Metazoa_SRP Metazoan signal recognition particle RNA